GGCCGUGUGGCGAAAUGGCAUCGCGUCUGACUACGAAUUGGUAGAUUGUGCAUGAACAAUGAACAAUUGGGAAUCAGGAGAUUGCAGGUUCGACCCCUGUCUCGGUCA
rnacentral:tRNA from 1 species